rnacentral:misc_RNA from 1 species
GUAGGUGAACCUGCGGAAGGAUCAUUAACACAUCCCCAACCCUUUUCUUCUUUUUUCCUUUAAAACGGAAAAAAAGAAGAUUUGAACCCCCUUCAUUGCGAACUCGUUUGGAAGUGCAUCACAUGACCACUUCCGCUUUUUUUCCUUUUCCUCUUUCUUUAAAAAACCCCAAUGGAAAAAAUCAACUGACUGAAAAUCGGUUUUUUUCCUCUUUUUGUUGUUGUUGUAACAAACCCCAACAAGGAGAGAAACAAAACUUUGAAAAAAAAACACAAAUUAUGAAACAACUCUUAGCAACGGAUAUCUUGGCUCUC